CUAAAACCCCCUAACUAACAACCAAUAGGUAAUAUCUGGGAAGAUCAUGACCCCAUAGUACUCAGCCAAUGAGGAACUGGGGGAGGAACCUGUGCACUAGGGAAUAAAUAAAUAAAUUGUGCCUGCUCAGCAGACACAUGAUCUUUCAAGACUGUCAUUAAAAUUCUCGCUUCUGUUGUUCUUUAUGUCUAAGAGUCCAUUUUUUGUGUUUGGUCAGGUGAGUUUGUUUCCCAUAACCUGUGGACCCAUCCAGGAUUUCUGUGCUUUUGUGGAGUGAGACUCCAGAUGAGCAGGGAGAGAUGCUGCUCUUGAUUUUAGGUGACCCGUUCUGACUGAGUGGCCCAGCUCCCAACAGCAGCCAUAGAUGAACCCAAGAUCAUUAUUCAGGAGGCAGUGGAGACAACAUGGGGAGAAAAACCAGGCACCAUGGCAACCACACAAAUUUGUGCAUCAGCCAAAGGAGGAAAACUGGACUGGAAUAUGAAUCACUCCUCUUGCCUCUCUAGGCAGGGGGAAGAGUUCAAUAAGCACAUGGGAGAACUCUCAACUUGUACGCACAUUC
rnacentral:lncRNA from 1 species